UGUUUAUUCCAAAUGACAUUUUGAAUUGUGAUCGUAUCAAAAAGUAAGAAACGGAUUGUGGAACUCAGAAGGAUUUGUUUUGCUGGAAUUUGGCCCUCGUAUAUCAGCGAAGCAAAAGAGGUUCGGAGAUUGAAAACAGCCUUAUCUGAAGAAAUGAAUUGUUAGUGUGUUCAAAUGCGCAGUUGCAUAACCACUGGCCAUCCAAGGGACAUGAAAUUGCCAAUUAGUGUCUCGACUUGCGUGAAAAGCAGGAUGAAUAACGUAACAUCGUUCAAAUCCCAAAAGAAGGAAACAAGGCUUAACGUGGUUUGCCCAAAUACCUUGGAAGUUUCUGUUCAAGAAAGGUAGUCUAUUAUCAAAUAUUUGGAGCAUUUCGGAAGGAUUCUGAUAAGCUCGUCGCUGAAGGUGUGACUGAAUCUGUUUUUAUACGGUUUUUUCUUCGUUCGUCAACCUGAUCAAAAGUGCUCCCCGUAUUCAAACAGUACAAGAAUAGAAAAGCGGUUUCAAUUUUUUUUUAUUAGAAAA